UACAGAGACUGCAAGCGUUAUUCGGAUUCACUGGGCGUAAAGGGUGCGCAGGUGGCCAAGUGUGUUAGGCGUGAAAGCCCGGGGCUUAACCCCGGAAUUGCACCUAAAACUACAUGGCUAGAGCAUUGGAGAGGGGAGCAGAAUUCACGGUGUAGCAGUGAAAUGCGUAGAUAUCGUGAGGAAUACCAGAGGCGAAGGCGGCUCCCUGGACAAUUGCUGACACUCAGGCACGAAAGCGUGGGGAGCAAACAGGGA
rnacentral:rRNA from 1 species